CCUUCCGCGCUUCGCUGCGUGUGGGGCUUUUUCUGGGGCUUUUACUUUGAGAAAAAUAGAGUGUUUCAAGCAGGCUUGUCGCCCUGAAUACUUCAGCAUGGAAUAAUAAGAUAGGACCUUGGUUCUAUUUUGUUGGUUUCUAGGACUAAGGUAAUGAUUAAUAGGGACAGUUGGGGGCAUUCGUAUUUAACUGUCAGAGGUGAAAUUCUUAGAUUUGUUAAAGACGAACUACUGCGAAAGCAUUUGCCAAGGAUGUUUUCAUUAAUCAAGAACGACAGUAGGGGGUUUGAAGACG
rnacentral:rRNA from 1 species